AUGGUCAGCACAUGCUUCAGUGCUCUGAGAGUGUUUAUAGAGCUGUGAGUUUAACACUUCAUGACUGACACUGUUUAUCAUAAUAACAGACACAGCAACUACAAUGACAUUCAUCUUUCUCUUGAUCUUAGGAAUGCAUUUUCAAGACUCUUCAGGACAGGUGACUGUAAUUCAGACUCCAACAGUGACACAUGUUCAGAACGGACAAACAGUCACUCUGACCUGUAAAACCAGCAGUGCUAUUGGACGUCAGUCAGACGGUUGGUGUAAGAACUGUUUCUCCUGGUACCUACAGAAACCUGGAGAAACUCCUAAACUUUUAGUGUACUACAUUAAAACCCUUCAUACUGGAACUCCAUCAAGAUUCAGUGGAAAUGGAGCUGAUCAUGGAACUGAUUUCACUCUGAGCAUCAGUGGAGUCCAGUCUGAAGAUACAGGAGAUUAUUACUGUCUAUCUUUAAACUACAUGAAUAAUAACUGGGUGUAAACACAGUGAUAAAGAGUCGUA